rnacentral:rRNA from 1 species
AAUUAAACUACAAAUUGUUCGCCAAACAACUACGAGUAAUACUUAAAACUUAAAAGACUUGACGGUACUUCACCCCGACCUAGAGGAGCCUGUCUAAUAACCGAUAACCCACGAUUAACCCAACCACUUCUUGCCCUACAGUCUAUAUACCGCCGUCGCCAGCUUACCUUGUAAAAGAAAUAAAGUGAGCCAAAUAGUAACACACUAAAACGACAGGUCGAGGUGUAACCUAUGAAGAGGCUAAGAUGGGCUACAUUCUCUAACAGAGAUACGAACAACACUAUGAAAUUAGUGUUCGAAGGCGGAUUUAGCAGUAAGAUAAGAAUAGAACACCUAACUGAAAAUAACGCAAUGAAGUGCGCACACACCGCCCGUCACCCCUGCCACCAC